rnacentral:tRNA from 1 species
GGGGCAUUAGCUCAGUCGGUAGAGCACCGGACUUUUAAUCCGGCGGUCAGCGGUUCGAAUCCGCUAUGCCCCACCA